GAAAUAGCAUUCAAAAAUUAAAAUGACCAAAAUAGCAUUUUAUCAUUUGAAAAUUUUAAUUUUUUUAUUUUUCAAAAUUUGAAAUCUUAUUCCCAAAACUUCAUUUCUAAACUCUAAACCCUAAACUCUAAACCCUAAACCCUAAACCCUAAACUCUAAACCCUAAACUCUAAAUUCUAAACCCUAAACCCUAAACCCUAAACUCUAAACCCUAAACCCUAAACUCUAAACCCUAAACCCUAAACCCUAAAUCUUAAAUCCCACCCUUUAACUCUAAACCCUAA
rnacentral:lncRNA from 1 species